CAGCCGGGUAAUUCCAGCUCCAAUAGCGUAUAUUAAAGUUGUUGCAGUUAAAAAGCUCGUAGUUGAAUUUCGGGAUCAAUGUUUCGGUCAUGCCGUUGGUAUGUACUGAUAUUAUUGAUUUCUCACCUUCUAAAGAACCGUAAUGCCAUUAAUUUGGUGUCACGGGGAAUUAGGACUGUUACCUUGAAAAAAUUAGAGUGUUUAAAGCAGGCUUACGCUUGAAUACAUUAGCAUGGAAUAAUGAAAUAGGACAUCCGAUUCUAUUUUGUUGGUUUCUAGGAUCGAUGUAAUGAUUAAUAGGGAUAGUUGGGGGCAUUAGUAUUCAAUUGUCAGAGGUGAAAUUCUUGGAUUUAUUGAAGACUAACUACUGCGAAAGCAUUUGCCAAGGAUGUUUUCAUUAAUCAAGAACGAAAGUUAGGGGAUCGAAGACGAUCAGAUACCGUCGUAGUCUUAACCAUAAACUAUGCCGACUAGGGAUCGGAUGAUGUUAAUUUUUUAAUGACUCAUUCGGCGCCUUACG
rnacentral:rRNA from 1 species